AGCGAACGCUGGCGGCAGGCUUAACACAUGCAAGUCGAGCGGGCACUUUCGGGUGUCAGCGGCGGACGGGUGAGUAACGCGUGGGAACGUGCCCUCUGGUUCGGAAUAACUCAGGGAAACUUGAGCUAAUACCGGAUACGCCCUUUUGGGGAAAGGCUUGCUGCCGGAGGAUCGGCCCGCGUCUGAUUAGCUAGUUGGUGAGGUAACGGCUCACCAAGGCGACGAUCAGUAGCUGGUCUGAGAGGAUGAUCAGCCACACUGGGACUGAGACACGGCCCAGACUCCUACGGGAGGCAGCAGUGGGGAAUAUUGGAAAAUGGGCGCAAGCCUGAUCCAGCCAUGCCGCGUGAGUGAUGAAGGCAUUAGGGUUGUAAAGCUCUUUUAUCCGGGACGAUAAUGACGGUACCGGAGGAAUAAGCCCCGGCUAACUUCGU
rnacentral:rRNA from 1 species